ACAAUUGGUUCGCGUGAGGUGAUGGCAAUUCAUUGGUGGGGAAGGGGUCCUUCGGGUGAGGGUUUUCAAGUAGAGAAGUGGGAAGUGUGCGAGAUGGGGUGUAGGAUCGACCCCAUGAUUUCAGAGACCCUGUUCAAUUCAGUAAAAAUAAGCACUAAAUUUUAUAAAUUAUAAAAAUAUAGAAAUAAAUUUCUAGGUUUUCAUUUUGUCUCGAAAUAUACUUUUAUGACAAAAUUUCAAUCAAUAAAUUGCAUAAUAUAUACAAUUCCAGGAGGCAUGUGAAUUGCUAAUUGCUAAUCCAAGAGGCAUGUUAACUGCUAAAUAUCCUAAAUUCUUAAUGUGAAGUAGAAUUAUGAUUUUGAGUCUUGAGCAAUCAAACAGAUUCUGAAUGUAAAAAUCUCAAUUAGAGAGAAAUACUUUAGAAAUGAGUAAAUUAUAAUUUAAAGCUAUUAAAUUGAAACCAUAAAGAUAAAAAGUUAGAAUAGAAACAUAAUUCAUUUAGUGAUUUUAAAAGAUUGUCGAGUUGAAUUCUGAUCAGGAUCGAAGAAGAUUAGAAGAGUCAAAUAUAAGAGCAGAUGAUUGUGAGCUUCUAAGGCCGAAGAUUAAAGAUAAGAACUGAGAAGAAAGUUUCUGAAUUCGUGAUUACGACUAUAAAUUUUGGAUUGUGAUUGUGAUUCAUACAUCAAAAUGAGAGUAUGAGACAUUGAAACUGAAAUGAUUACCGGUUAGUCACUUACCAAUAAUGUGAAUAGUUGCCCUUAGUUUCAAAUGUAUCACCAAUUGACAAUUGAUCAUCGAGAAACUCAUGCGACAUUCUCGUUUUCCAAUUUCCAGAUUAACUUCACACGUCUCGAGUUCCGAGUACAUGAAGUUGUGAACAUUAAUUAACCUAAAGAGACUUGAGCCUAAAAAAAUAUAGACUGGUAUUAAGUAGGACAAAAAAUUUAGGUCUCUAAAGAAGAAUGGGCCCUUUUCAAAGGCACUUUCCGCACUCCUCUUGGGUCGGCCACGAUGGGGUGAUCUUGGUUGGUGGACCCAACCAGUUUUAUAAAAUCAUGGAAUAUUGAUUAAAGUAACUAUUAUAUUGUUAAAUUAAAGAAAAUAAUCUCAAUUUGUUUUUUUAAAUGACAAACUAGUAUGGAAUAGGGCAUUUCGGGCCCGAGUUUAGUCGAGUCCCUCCUCCUUUGUUUAACCCGACUCGAUACUAUGGUCCCAUAUUUUGACAAUUUUUGGAAGAUUGACAUUUCGGUAAAUUUGUCAAUGGGGCGGGUUUGUAGCGAACCACCAUUGAUCCAAACCAUUUUAAAAUUUUGAAAAGAUGAUCCGCCCCGAUCCAUUAACACUCAAUGUAACAACGUGAAUUUCCAAAACAAUUUUUUUCAUUUUUAAAACAUAAUUUCUUUCAUAAUAAAAACCAAAAUCCAAUGUAACACAUGUCCACCAAAUAAAACAAUCCCAAGAUCUCAAAUACAUAAAACUCCAUCAAUGUGUACAGAUCAUGCCGGCGCCUUCCUGCGAUCAUCGCUGGUACCUGAAACACAUAUCACAUAAACGGUAAGCAUAAAUGCUAAGUGAGUUCCCCAAAAUACCACAUACGCACAUACGCCACUCAAGGCUAUAACUUUACAAGACCUUCCAGUCCAUGUGUCUCAGGGGACUUCCAUCCCAUAGUCCUGGUAGACCUUCCGGUAAGUAUCAUCUUGACCUUCCGGCCCAUACACUGUUGACCUUCCGGUCGAUAUCAUAAUACUCAUAACAUAACAUAGCACAUACAUAUCAUAUAAUAGCAUGCAUCACAUACUCAUCAUAGCACAUAAGACCUUCCAGUCACACAUAAUUACCACUCUAGGUAAAGUAUAGUGAGAAGACUCACCUCGUACGAUGUCGGAUAACCUUUCGUGCUCGACAACCCGACCUAGCCUCCUCCUAUCAACAUGAUAACAUCUCUAAUCAAUACUUUCUCUUGUCCUCAUUUCUAAAGAAUGGGUAGAAGACCAUUCCACCCCUCCCUGACCUCUCUUGAACCAACUUGACCGAAACCCUAAGGUCAACUGAAGUCAACCCUAGUCAACGGUCAAACUUUGAUCAAACUCGUCGAGUGCACUCAUGUGACUCGGCGAGCCCAUGCAUGUCCUCUUAAUUGUGACAUCCCCAUUUUCAUGGCCAGAAAAGACCGAUUUUGUUUGUGCUUUAUAAAAAUCAGAGUACUUCAUUUUAUAAAAAUGUUGCGGAAUUUGUUCCCAGAAAAACAUGGUAAAUACGUUAUUAAAACAUUUUCGAAGAAACGUAUUUAUUUCAUUUUAAAACGUUUGGGAUGUCAUCGUUAAUACAGAAACAUAAGCAUAAACAGAACUUACAAUUAUUUACACUAGUGAUCUACAUCUCUUUAAAUCUCUCAGUGUAAUGUCACUUCAUAUCAACACCUGUGAUAUAAAUAAACUGAGUGGGUCAGGUUGGGAAACCUGGUGAGUACAUAGGGUUUUCAACCCACAAUAAUAUAAUUAUUAUGUUUAAACAAUCAAACAAUCAACCCAAUUACCCAUCCCCAUUAUCUUCUUUAUUCUUAAGGAUCUACCCUAAGAAUCAGCUAUUUCUCAUUCAUUCAUUCCUAAGGAUCAUCCUAAGGAAACAACAUGAAGUCCAUUGUUGCCAAUGACACAUUGGUCAAGCGNUUCAAAUAAACACCUACAGGUUGCGAGCCUGCUAGUGUUCCACUGGACUGUCUAGAAUAGUCCGUGGUCGUCAUCUAUACUCCGCUAGAUGACUAGAUCAUCAAGAACAGCUAUAACGAGGCCUCUCAUUAUUUUAUUUUGUCACACAGCAACUAUUACAUCUACCCAUGUUUUACCCAACACAUUUUGUAGAUAUAAAAUACAUAUACAGUUUAAAUCAUUGAAAACAUGUAUAAAACGUUCAUCCAGCAUAGAUAGCAAGUAUACAGAUAAUAUACACACACAGCACGUAAUUUAUAUAAAAUACUUCAUAUCUAUGUGUAAGCUGAAAGUAACUAUGCACUCACCUGAGAAGGUGGUGACUCGGUACUCGGACAGCGCUUCGUU
rnacentral:lncRNA from 1 species